AUACCCUGGUUUCUUUUCAGAUGAUAUAAAUCUUUCACUUUUUACCGAAGAUUUCUGUGGAGGAAUAACUGAGUUAUUCCUCAGUUUUUUAAGGCCUUGUUUUAGCAGGGCU
ensembl:snRNA U5 U5 spliceosomal RNA